AUGGAGGAGUCAUAUCCUCCUAUAGUUUCAACAAAGAGGGCGUAUGAUAAAGACCAACAAUCCCCCCAGGAUGAGGGUUCUCCAAAACAAACUUAUGUCACUGAGGGUGGUGCUUCUAGGGAGGAAACUCCCUUCAUACGAAUGUCAAAUGUCUUAUCUUCCCAGCUUGCUUUCACUCUUGAGGAGGUUGUUGGUGUUGUUACGAAGUUAUAG